rnacentral:tRNA from 1 species
GCUCCUAUCGACUAAUGGUUAGGUCAUCAGACUUUCAAUCUGAAAAUACGAGUUCGAGCCUCGUUAGGAGUACCA